rnacentral:rRNA from 1 species
UCUGGGAUAAGCGCUGGAAACGGUGUCUAAUACCGGAUAGGACCUGGAACCGCAUGGUUUUGGGUGGAAAGUUUUUCGGUCUGGGAUGGACUCGCGGCCUAUCAGCUUGUUGGUGAGGUAAUGGCUCACCAAGGCGUCGACGGGUAGCCGGCCUGAGAGGGUGACCGGCCACACUGGGACUGAGACACGGCCCAGACUCCUACGGGAGGCAGCAGUGGGGAAUAUUGCACAAUGGGCGAAAGCCUGAUGCAGCAACGCCGCGUGAGGGAUGACGGCCUUCGGGUUGUAAACCUCUUUUAGUAAGGAAGAAGGGAAGCUUGCUUCUUGACGGUACUUGCAGAAAAAGCACCGGCUAACUACGUGCCAGCAGCCGCGGUAAUACGUAGGGUGCGAGCGUUGUCCGGAAUUAUUGGGCGUAAAGAGCUCGUAGGCGGUUUGUCACGUCUGCUGUGAAAUCCCGAGGCUCAACCUCGGGUCUGCAGUGGGUACGGGCAGACUGGAGUGCGGUAGGGGAGAAUGGAAUUCCUGGUGUAGCGGUGGAAUGCGCAGAUAUCAGGAGGAACACCGAUGGCGAAGGCAGUUCUCUGGGCCGUAACUGACGCUGAGGAGCGAAAGCGUGGGGAGCGAACAGGAUUAGAUACCCUGGUAGUCCACGCCGUAAACGUUGGGCGCUAGAUGUGGGGACCUUUCCACGGUUUCCGUGUCGUAGCUAACGCAUUAAGCGCCCCGCCUGG